rnacentral:tRNA from 1 species
AGCUCAAUUGGUAGAGCGAGCGGCUGUUAACUGCUAGGUUAGGGGUUCGAAGCCCUUA